UAACUUACUAUCUACCUACUUUUAGCAAUGCUCUCUUUAAGUCCAGCUGAGGAAUCUGCAGGUUUGUAACCCACCUGACAGCUGAUUUCACUGAUUGAUCCACCUUCAGCCUGGGCGGUCAGUGAUAGAGCUGCUGUAGUGAUUGGAAGGAGUUAAAACCUGCUGGCUCCUCUGUGACCCUGGACUCAGCACCACUUGCUUAAAGGGAACACUGGCCACAGGUAACCUGGAAACAGCUUUGUUUACAACGUGGACGUGGACUUCGAGGGGAAACGGGACUGUGAAGAAUCCACAAUCAUGAUUUGAGCGGGAAGCGACAGUAAAGGAAUAUUAUGCAAGUCAGACCACUGUGCACUUCCAGCACCACCCAGCUAGAGUCUCUGUCACCACGGAGGGCGUUUGGCUGGUGGAUGAUGCCAGUGUCUCUGAUGGGACUUGUCGACCAGGUUGUUUUAUAUUUGUUGUUUUCAGUUCCCAGCAGCUCCGAUACCUGCUCUUCCUUAACAUUUGUAAUGUACCCAGCUGUGGCACAGGUCACCGUACUGGACUGGACCAGCGUGUGAAGGUCAAAGCAUGGGACCCCCAUCCUUCACAGCCUCGUGCCUUAAAAUGAUUCACAGAAGUGCGAAAGGAUCUUUAAAAUGAUUUGUGGGUCACGACUCUCACACACCCAGACAGAAAUGAGUCUGGAAACACUUUGCCCUGCAGCUUUCUGUCUGCAGAAUUCACCAGUGUAAUAUUUAGCUUUCGGUGACAUCACCUGUUUUUAACACCUCCCCCCAGCUGCAAUAAUGUAAAGUGACAAUGUGAUCUGAUUUGGUGGCCCCAGUGCGGUCACGGUGCUGGAGAACUACUGAAGGUUCUGUAUCAGUGUCACACGUGUUUUGAAGGAGUACUAUAGAAUCCACACCUUAGAAGUAGCAGCCCUCUGUUCACUCCACACAACCCUGUUGUAACCAAACAGUCUCCAGCAGGAAAACCCAACUGGUUUUUACUGGUAAUGAACAAGUUCCUGUUGAAUCCAAAGAGCACCUGUGGGGCAAAUUGCAUAUACCUGUUUACCACCACUGCAGAGCUUAGUAUUAACAUGUUAGCUAAAUUAACGUACGACAAAGAAACAAUCAUAAUGGUUUGGUGACUUUGUACUGAAUGUUUUUUAUACUGAGGUUGUGUGUGGCGUUUCAGGACUCCUCACAAACUGACAUAACAUUUCUUUAUAGAUUCAUCACUGAGUAAUCUGUCAUGUACAGAGACUGAGUGUUGUUUCUGAUAGGAAUAUGUUUCAUGGGGCUGACGCCGGAGCAGUAUUGAGCCAUCUGCGGCUGGUUUGGGGACUGUCACAGGAGAUUUGAAGAUUUGCCAUCUGGAAAUAAUCCCCAGAGCAGCCAUGGGAUCCCAACUGUCCCUUCCUUCCUUCCACUCUGUGCUUCAAACUCUUUGCCAUGGCACGUAACUCUGAACACAUUCAGCCAGUGGUUGGUCGCAGCCGGCUGUCUGUGCUCUGUUUUGUGAAACCUGAUCACUACAUGUGCAAGACACAGAUUCACAGGUGAGGUGGUACUUGAAGCAACUAGAAUUUCAAAAUUACAAAAUUCAAAAACGCACAAGAAUAAUUGAAAGGCGGAAUAAAAAGCAAAUGGAGAGUAGUAAAAGGGUUCCAGACCUAGAAAGCUCUGCUCCACUCUCCAGGAACCAAAACCUCCAGCUGGUUUCACGGCACUGCGUAGCGUUUGUCUUCAGUUCAGCAGUAGUUCAGUUGACUGAGGCGUUUUGUAGUCCUACCUCAUUCUCAGCUCUCAUUAACAACCCCGUCUUAGUUUCUGAAACGAGGGGGCGAUAGAUUUUUACCUCAGACUCUCUUCAGCCUUUAACCUCUGUGUGGUGUUUUGCUGUAGCUGCACCUGCUUUUCCCUUUAUAAUGACCACACCUGUUCUCUCUCCUAAUGCCUGUCCAGAUUACUAUAAUGUUGUCUGCAUUCAGCAGCUGCAGCUCCUGUAAGGUUAUAUUAUUGUCUGAAGGCCUCGGUGUGUUUCAAACACCAUGACUCAAAUCCAACGUGGUUUAGCCAUCCAAGGAAGGUUCAAAUCAAGGACAACUGGACUCUGAGAGGCUUUUUCAGUUCUGACUGACUGUCAUGAAGUCCUAGCUUUUCACACAUAGGUUAAAGACUUAGGACCUCCUGCCAGUCAGUCAGAACUGAAGAAGCCUCUCGGAUGAGAGGCGAAACAUCUUUGGGUGUCUUCAAACACGUCCGGCUGCCCUUGAUUGGAACCUUCCUGCCGCCACAGCCUCCAUGUGGCCUCAUCCCACCGGCUCCCAAUCUUUCUCCAGGAAUUCUGUCUUUGCUGUCUGGACACAAUUCAUUCUACAAAAGGGGACUGGCGGUCUUUCCUGAGAGGCAGUUGGAUUCGGUUGUUACUUUCACACGUCGGCACACCUGAGCGGUCACUGGGUAACGUGGGAGCAAUUGACUGUCAGGAAAGUCAAGUUGUUUAACUUACUCCUCUCCCACUCCUGCUGUCAGACAGGACGUUUCAGACGCUCAUGGGAGCUGUAGUUGUUGGAUGCUAACAGCAGUUUAUGACUUUCUGCUAAAGGAUGCAUGUAGCACAUAGCUAAUCUGUGGUUUAGCCUUUGGGAUAUUGACCAGCAGUGUUCAAUGUACGUGUUUUUCUAAGCGUUAAACCUAACUUGCUUCAAAGACUGUAUGUGGCGUUACUGAGGUUGAUAGUUUGAAAGCUAACUGAGGAUCUUCACAGCUAAAUCAUCACUACUAGAAUGCUUCGCCCUGCUGUCGCUGUGUUUUUGUACGAGCCGUUUCAUAUAGCUCUGUUCAGGCUAGCAAUGAUUCCACUUGAACACUUUACACUAUGCAAAAUAUUCCACUGCCUCACUGUAAACACCGUGCAGAGCCACACCGUUCUCAAACAGUUGUGCAUAAUAUCUUGAACGUUCAUGUUUUUUUGUGCAUAUUUUCAGUGUAAUGUUUCAUAUGUGUAAAAUAAGAACCGUUUUUGUUAAUGAAGCUGACCGGAGCCAUUAGAUUUUUGUGAAAGCAUCGAGUUUUUUUUUUGCUGUAAAUAUGUUUGACAACUUUUCUUGGAAUAAAUGAUCAAAACUGUC